CCCACCCGCUCAUUUUAGAACUCAUCACCAUCAUCAUACGCCGGCGCAACUUUUAGACUACUCCACUGGAUUGCUGUCCCGGUGACGAUGUCCGAUCAAAACCCAAAAUCAAUUUUCCCUGCGAUCAAGUAAUUCUACUGUUCUUCCCAACCAUUAAAAAGAAAGAAGGAAAAUUGGAGAACUCGUUGAAGUUACAUGGGUAUUCUUGGAACCCUAAAUCAGAUAUCUUGGAAUUCAAGAACUCGUUGAAGUUACAUGGGUAUUCUUGGAAGUCGUUAAAUCCUUAAUCAGAUUAUUCUUGGAAUUCGAGAAUUUGACAUUGUCAGAUUGACUUGUGGAGGUGGGCUGCUGAAAACAUCAUAGGAUCUGGUGUUCCACGAGAUGGACUGGUGCUGAUGGGAGAAAGAUAUGAUAUACCUGUGAAUUAUGAGGUCAAGAAAAAGAGGUGCAGGGCCCAGUGUUGCAAAGCUACACUUCAGCUUCCUUCCCCGCAGCCAAAGAAACUAACUGGAGAGUGCACUGUCAGGAGAGAGAUUCGAUCUCCGCAGAAUAUUCUGUGGGGAAGUGCUUCCGAAUAGCGUGAUCCUGAGUCCGGAUUCCUUUGUCAGAUUGAAAGUUCAAGUCGGUUAAUUGAUCAAUCUCUUGCUGAUUGCACAGUUGGGGUAAACUUGAAAUCCAGAAGCUCUGCGCAACCCCUUUCAUCCGAUGCCAGAAACUAGAGUUGUAAGGAGACUGCAGCAUUCUGCAAAAUCCAUCUCCUCAGAGCUUCCAUAGCACCCGUCCCAUCACUGUUAUCAAUCUUCCACCCCAAGUUGUGGUGACAGUGUAUUCUCUGAUGAAAGGUCAAGUGUGAAAAUGAAACUUGUUAACAUCUGGAAUAGCAAGUUACAAGCUCUAGGGGAGUGCACAAGUAUACACGAUGGGGAGUCAAAAGAAGUUUGAACUUAGUCUCCUGAUUUUUGUUUACCCAAUCAUUCCUGACCUGAAUAAGAGCAUAGGGAGUCAAAAAAGUACACACGAUGGGGAGUCAAAAGAAGUACACGCGAUGGGGAGUCAAAAGAAGGAUAGGUUAUGGAAUCAAGACACAUUUGUCAACAAUGCAAGGCUAUGAGUAUUUACAGGCAAAAAUUCUCUUUAAUGUACCUGCAUAGCAUUACUCAUUUUAUUUUUCACCGCGUAAUAAUCCCCACAUUAUUAUUUACGACAUAACAGUUUUUACAUUAUUAUAACCGCACAACUAAUACUUUAACAAAUAAUGUCUUCCUAUCAUGUAUUGCAAUUUUGUUAUAUUACUGAAGAAAAAGAAGAGUGAUAUAGGGUGCUUUAUCUUUUGCUUCAUUCUGGUGGAGUAUAUUCUUGUGUAGAAACUUAGGUCCAUGUCAUAAUAAAUGUGCGUCCAUUUUUACAUAGUCAAGGAUUAUGAACUUUUUUAUUAUUA